UGGACAUUAAUUAGAAGCAAGGCAGUC
rnacentral:piRNA from 1 species